AGCGGCCUACGGGGCGCAGCAGUGGGGAAUGUUGGGCAAUGGGCGCAAGCCUGACCCAGCAAUGCCGCGUGAAGGAAGAAGGCGCUCGGGUUGUAAACUUCUUUUAUCAGGGACGAAGGAUGUGACGGUACCUGAUGAAUAAGCUCCGGCUAACUACGUGCCAGCAGCCGCGGUAAUACGUAGGGAGCAAGCGUUAUCCGGAUUUACUGGGUGUAAAGGGCGCGUAGGCGGGAUGGCAAGUCAGAUGUGAAAUCCGGGGGUUCAACCCCUGAACUGCAUUUGAAACUGUCGUUCUUGAGUACUGG
rnacentral:rRNA from 1 species